CCCGGGGGGUCCCCAGACUAUGUCUGAGAGGUCAGCCAAAGAUGAGUGUGAUCAAUCAAAACUAUGUGAAUACCUGCACUUACGAUUCAAAGGGGUCCGCGCCUCCAUGCAAAAUUUUGUAGGGGUC